rnacentral:lncRNA from 1 species
ACUGAAUUUAGUUGUACCAAAUAUGAUCGUCUGUUUAUCAUCAGUAAUUACUGGAUAAAUGACUGAACACUUAAGAGAAAAAUGAGAAAAGCUAAUGAAGAUUGCCCUUAAGAAAGAAAAUGAUGAACAAUGUGAUAGUUAUUGUUUACUAUAAAACAGUAAAUAUGGCCAGGAGAUGAGUUGGUCAAAACAAUUCUACAAGAGUUGAACAACUGGGCUGAUGAGAUAGCUCAGUGGGUAAGAGCACUUGACUGCUCUUCCAAAGGUUCUGAAUUCAAAUCCCAGCAACCACAUGGUGGCCCACAACCAUCCAUAAUGAGAUCUGAUGCCCUCUUCUGGUGUGUUUGAAGUCAGCUACAGUGUACUUACAUAUAAUAAAUAAAUAAAUCUAAAAAAAAAAAAAAAAGAGUUGAACAACUGCACACAAGUUACAUCCUCUCAGGGACAUAAGAAGAGCCAAGAGAAUGGUUUUUUCUUUCGGCACACAAAACAGUCAUUGUAAGAAGGACUAAUUCAUUCAUCAAUAAAAGGAACACUGGAUAUUAACUGUGUAAUAGACUCUGUGUUAACCUCUCAAGUCACAGGCAUAAACACAAUAUGUUGGGCUCUUCAAAAUUUCAUGGGCUACCAAAGAAGUAAAUCAAGGUUCCCUGUGGCAAUUUCUAUAUUUAUCUGAGUCAAGGACUCAGGGAUUCAGCAGAGGCAGAGUACUAACUUUGGUUUGAGGUACAUUAGAGAGACAUUUCCACUCUAUAAUGAAGGGAAAUGGAAGUUCUGUAGAGAGGUGUCCAUGUGCACUCUCAGUGGGUGCAGGAAGAACAGAUUCCUAGAGGGGUGGUAGUGCCUGGCCAGUUCAGAGCUGUCUGUUACUUUGACAGCUGGGACAUGGAGUCCUUGGGACAUAGAGGCAGGUGGAUUUAGACAGGCAGGGUGCAUAUAUUAUAAAUGACUAUAUAUGUUCUCACAUGAACACCUACACACACACACACACACACAUACACACACACACACACACACACACACACAAUGUACACACAUAAACAGAUAAUUAAAAAUAAAAGUGCUUUAAAAGAAUCUGUAUUGCUAAGGAAUGUAUUAGGAAUGGUGACUUGACAAAGGCUUUGAAUCAGGACAAUAUUUUGAAACCAAGGCUGUGUUUUAUAAAUACCUUGACACAUAACAAGUGAAUUUGAAGGGAAAAGAUUUAGAAAGCAGCGAAAUCAGAAAGCUAUUGUCAAUACUGUUUCCUGCCUUUUAAUCACAAAACUAUAAAUAGCUUCUCCUUGGGGAAAAUAGUUGACCCACUCUUAAUUCAGUUCAGAUAUCAUUGCGAAAACACUAUUUACUGUAUUGUCCUUGACAUAAAUGGGUUCAUUAGUAGAUACUGUCAACUUACAAUGGUAACCUGAUUUCUAUUGUUAUUAUUAUUAUUAUCACACAUGCAUAUUGCCCUAGAGUAUGUGUAACGGGGAAGGAGGGAUCUGAGAGGCCAAGAGUGAUUGAUCCUCUUUUUCUGCCACAAUAGCAGCUCACCAGGAAAGGAGUCAUUUGCUGUAAUGGAAAGAGAUGAAAGUAGCGAAAAUGGCUGCUUACCUCAGGGGACUAUUUUGGGAGCUCAAAGGGGAAAAUGGUGCUUUGUAGAUUCUGAAGUGCUGGAAAAAAAUAUGGAAUUACUAUCAUAAAGGCUGGGCAGGUUUGCAAUAUAUUUGAACAAGAGUAAGGUCAAUAUGUUCAUAUCUAAAAGGCAAGGUUCAAAUUGUAUAUAAAUGUAUAUUUACCUAUAUAAUUUCUUGACCUAAAGGAAGUGCGCUGGAAUACUGCUUUAGGGUGGAGAAGGCAAUAUCCAACUUUAUAUGGCAGCACAGAGACUAAGAAAAAAACCAGAGAUCAUUGUGACCAGGGCACAGGAAGCAGAUAACCUAAACCAAAAGCAACCUGCAGGACUUCAAAUUGAGAAAACAAUUCAAUUACAAAAUUAGUGCUUACAAUCAUCUGCUUUUUAAAGUGAGGCCAAUCAGAAAUCAUCUAAACCAUAAUUCCAGGAUUUUUCUCAAUUUACAUCAUUCUCCUUGACCACAGAUAAAAUCUGUCAUCAAUUUGGGCUGUGUUCUUCCAUGAAUAAGUAGAUAGAAGGGAAAUUGCCCAUUUAUAGAAUGCAUCAAGGAUGAAGCCAAAGUGGAAGACUGGAGAGAAUCCUUAUUGUGCAGUAGAGAACAUGACUUUGCAUGGAAGUAACAUUUUAUGGCAUAAUAACCCAGUGCAGCUGCCAGACAGCACUGAGGAGGAGCUUGGGAAAGGAAGGUACUCCAGGUUCUAAAGAGCAUGAACAUGACAGAUUAUUAUAAGAUGUGCCCUAAGAUGACAUAGGAAAGAAAGCAGAUGCUCAAGAUGUGAAAGGCAUUAGUAAGGCCAGGAUCAGGCACUGGCCUUUGCCAGUAUUUCCGAGGAAAAAAUCAAAGCACAAAGCAAAGCUGUGUGAAGAGUUUAGGAUUGGCUCUUUUAUGGUACAUUUGUGCCUCUAUGUCUCUCUGUGUCUCUGUCUCUCUGUCUCUCUGUCUCUCUCUCUCCCAUCUUCUCUGUGUGUGGUCUAGAAGCUAUGGUGAUUCCCAAUUACCCACCAUCUUUCUCUGAGAUGACUAAGGGAGAAGGUUAUUGCUUCUUGAGGCUGAAGGGCUAGAUGGUAGAAGCUCUGUAUUUGUUAGUAUGAAUGAGAAAUCAUGCAUACCCCCAAUGGGACCCAUUAAUGAUGUCAAAAAUAUAAAAACUGUACAAAAAUCUAAUAUUGAUAAUCCAGAGACUUUAUGUUAGCUGAUGGAGGUGCCUAGCAACCAUGCAGUUGGGAGGAGAGGAGAAGGAUGAGCUAUGUGUGUUGUAAGGGUGGUUACAUCCAAGGUCAGUUAUUCUCUGGUGCAUGGUUCCAAUUUUAAUGGAAGGCUUUCCAAAUUACAUCCUCUGAGAGAGCAAGUGUUUAUGUUACACCAUCUGUCAUAUCUCAGGAAAUAAAAAUAGGAAAAGCUACCCACUUGGUCUUAUUCUUGGAACCUUUGCCCAGCACUGUUAAUAAGAGAGGAUUUGUUUUGUAAGAAAAUUACC